rnacentral:rRNA from 1 species
AUUGAACGCUGGCGGCAGGCUUAACACAUGCAAGUCGAGCGGAGAUGAGGUGCUUGCACCUUAUCUUAGCGGCGGACGGGUGAGUAAUGCUUAGGAAUCUGCCUAUUAGUGGGGGACAACAUUCCGAAAGGAAUGCUAAUACCGCAUACGUCCUACGGGAGAAAGCAGGGGAUCUUCGGACCUUGCGCUAAUAGAUGAGCCUAAGUCGGAUUAGCUAGUUGGUGGGGUAAAGGCCUACCAAGGCAACGAUCUGUAGCGGGUCUGAGAGGAUGAGCCGCCACACGGGGACUGAGACACGGCCCUGACUCCUACGGGAGGCAGCAGUGAGGAAUAUUGGACAAUGGGGGGGAACCCUGAUCCAGCCAUGCCGCGUGUGUGAAGAAGGCCUUAUGGUUGUAAAGCACUUUAAGCGAGGAGGAGGCUACUGAGACUAAUACCCUUGGAUAGUGGACGUUACUCGCAGAAUAAGCACCGGCUAACUCUGUGCCAGCCGCCGCAGUAACAC